GCACAACCCAUGGGAGAUGGAGAUGGAGCAGCUUCUUUUGACCUCAACAUGGCUAUGUAUGACCCAGAUGAAGUGGAUGGCUUCAAUGCCCCUGCAGCACCAGCAACCUUUGUUUCAAACAUGGAUUUCGAGCAAGAGGAGGCAGAUGAGGACGCCGAUGUGUAUGCGGUCGAUUUUCAUGUCAGCUUCGCCGAAGACGAGCUCCAAUGGUCCACUGAUCAUGGCAAUCAAGGUAUUUUCAAUUACUCAAUUUUUUUACUUCCAUCAACUUCACGAUUUAAGGCUUCGUGUAAAGGUUGUACCUCUGAUUUUUCUUUGAUUUGUACAUCUAGCUUCUGCGUUCAAUGUCGCCGAUGAAACAACCACCUUUGAUCUCAACUUUGCCUUGGACGAAGAGGCGCUCGACGGGUCCAGUGAUGCAGAAAAUGUUGAUCAAAGCAGCCAAACUGAACAUGCCGCCAUGGUGAACAAAAGGAAGAAUUUGUCAGACAACGAAAGACAAGCAAUUUAUGAAGCUUUACUUCUCCAAAGCGUGAAUGGCAAAUUGAAAAGAAGGACCACC